rnacentral:rRNA from 1 species
GUGCCAGCCGCCGCGGUAAUACGUAGGUGGCAAGCGUUGUCCGGAAAAAUUGGGCGUAAAGGGCUCGCAGGCGGUAAGAAAAGUCUGAUGUGAAAGGGGCCGGCUCAACCGGGGAGGGUCAUUGGUUUCUGCCGAACUUGAGUGCAGAAGAGGAGAGUGGAAUUCCAUGUGUAGCGGUGAAAUGCGUAGAUAUAUGCAGGAACACCAGUGGCGAAGGCGGCUCUCUGGUCUGUAACUGACGCUGAGGCUCGAAAGCGUGGGGAGCGAACAGGAUUAGAUACCCUAGUAGUCC